UCUCGGCUUAUCACCGGCAGUCCCCCUAGAGUGCCCAACUUAAGGCUGGCAACUAAGAGCAGGGGUUGCGCUCGUUGCGGCACUUAAGCCAACACCUCGCGGCACGAGCUGACGACAGCCAUGCAGCACCUGUGCUAGCCCCUUACGGACACGGGCUUUCACCCGCUUUAACUAGCAUGUCAAGCCUAGGUAAGGUUCUUCGCGUUGCAUCGAAUUAAGCCACAUGCUCCGCCGCUUGUGCGGGCCCCCGUCAAUUCCUUUGAGUUUUAGCCUUGCGGCCGUACUCCCCAGGCGGGGCACUUAAUGCGUUAGCGGCGACACUGAAAGGUUAACCCUUCCAACGUCUAGUUCUCAUCGUUUACCGCGUGGACUAC
rnacentral:misc_RNA from 1 species